GUCUAUGGUCAUACUACCCUGAAUGUACCUGAUCUUGAAGCUAAGCAGGGUUAGGCCUGGUUAGUACUUGGAUGGGAGAAGUUUCCAGAAGGUCUUUUCUGGAAAAGUCAGAGUCAUAGGCU
rnacentral:rRNA from 1 species